UACCCGAUGAAUCGCUAAGAAUCCAACGGUGAAAGACUGUCGUACAACUGCGCCACGCCAUUCCUCACAAAGCAAAACCCUCACAAAGCCCUCUCUCGCCACUAUCGGCAAACAGUAACUCGGAAAAUGGCUUGGCGCUCAGCUGGUUCGCUGUCUCGGUCAUUGGUGUCCAACGCAAGGGUUUCGUCGCUCCGCUCGGCGCCCCCUCUCCGUCGCUUCCGCCCGCCGUCGCUCUCCACUCCUCGUCGCCUCUUCGCUUCUCCCAGGAACUUGGGUGAACUGGGAUGCAUACAAUCGCUUUUGCCAAUGCACCGCAUGACGGCUGCAACCUGCCUCACAUCUCACCUGGCUGCCAACGUGCGGGGUUGUUGCGAGUUGUCACACGGUACCUUCUGCCGCACUUGUCAGGAUCGCUAGUAGUCCCUUUGGAGGAAUGGAAAAGAUGGGUGACGCGCAAGGACGUCCAAUCAUCCAAUGGCGGCAGAAGAAUGAUCAAUUGGUGGACUUGAAGGGACUUUUGGAUCAGCAUAGUUGAGUGCAACUCAACAUUGUGGGUGAUCGUAGAGUUUGGAUGUAUCCCGUAGGAACAAGUGCUUUUGGAUCAGGAAAACUUAGUAGGAGCACGUCUUUUUGAAAAUAUCUUCAUAAUAAGAAACAUGGUAGUUCAUCUGAUUUGAUGACGGUUCCUAGGUGUCCGGACUUCAUUACUUGUACGUGGUAAAUUUCUUUGUCUCGUAAGCUGUGAUUAAAUGUUUCAACGUUAAUAUGUUGAUUAUCAACCUAUAUUAGUCUUUGCUCUUUUAAAUAAUAAUGUCAGUUCUGAUAAAUUGCA